rnacentral:tRNA from 1 species
CUAUCAUCUUGAGAGUAGAUCAAUUGCUGAUCCGGUGCGAAAAGGCGCGUUCCCACACUCUGGAAAACUGCCAUAUU